GACGAACGCUGGCGGCGUGCUUAACACAUGCAAGUCGAACGGAAAGGCCCUGCUUUUGUGGGGUGCUCGAGUGGCGAACGGGUGAGUAACACGUGAGUAACCUGCCCUUGACUUUGGGAUAACUUCAGGAAACUGGGGCUAAUACCGGAUAGGAGCUCCUGCUGCAUGGUGGGGGUUGGAAAGUUUCGGCGGUUGGGGAUGGACUCGCGGCUUAUCAGCUUGUUGGUGGGGUAGUGGCUUACCAAGGCUUUGACGGGUAGCCGGCCUGAGAGGGUGACCGGCCACAUUGGGACUGAGAGACGGGCCAGACUCCUACGGGAGGCAGCAGGGGGGAAUAUUGCACAAUGGGCGGAAGCCUGAUGCAGCAACGCCGCGGGCGGGAUGACGGCCUUCGGGUUGUAAACCGCUUUCGCCUGUGACGAAGCGUGAGUGACGGUAAUGGGUAAAGAAGCACCGGCUAACUACGUG
rnacentral:rRNA from 1 species